rnacentral:rRNA from 1 species
UACGAAAGGUGCAAGCGUUACUCGGAAUCACCGGGCGUAAAGCGCACGUAGGCGGACUCGCAGGUCAAUUGUGAAAUACCUGGGCUCAACCCGGGAACUGCAGUUGAAACCGCUUGUCUUGAAUACCUGAGAGGGUGGGGGAAUACCUGGUGGAGAAGUGAAAUUCGUAGAGAUCAGGUGGAACACCGGAGGCGAAGGCGCCUGCCUGGCAGUGUAUUGACGCUGAGGUGCGAAAGUGCGGGGAGCAAACAGG